rnacentral:rRNA from 1 species
GACGAACGCUGGCGGCGUGCCUAAUACAUGCAAGUAGAACGCUGAAGGAGGAGCUUGCUCUUCUGGAUGAGUUGCGAACGGGUGAGUAACGCGUAGGUAACCUGCCUGGUAGCGGGGGAUAACUAUUGGAAACGAUAGCUAAUACCGCAUAACAGUAGAUGUUGCAUGACAUUUGCUUAAAAGGUGCAAUUGCACCACUACCAGAUGGACCUGCGUUGUAUUAGCUAGUUGGUGGGGUAACGGCUCUCCAAGGCGACGAUACAUAGCCGACCUGAGAGGGUGAUCGGCCACACUGGGACUGAGACACGGCCCAGACUCCUACGGGAGGCAGCAGUAGGGAAUCUUCGGCAAUGGACGGAAGUCUGACCGAGCAACGCCGCGUGAGUGAAGAAGGUUUUCGGAUCGUAAAGCUCUGUUGUAAGAGAAGAACGAGUGUGAGAGUGGAAAGUUCACACUGUGACGGUAUCUUACCAGAAAGGGACGGCUAACUACGUG